rnacentral:rRNA from 1 species
GAUGAACGCUGGCGGCGUGCUUAACACAUGCAAGUCGAACGGAAAGGCCCUGCUUUUGUGGGGUGCUCGAGUGGCGAACGGGUGAGUAACACGUGAGUAACCUGCCCUUGACUUUGGGAUAACUUCAGGAAACUGGGGCUAAUACCGGAUAGGAGCUCCUGCUGCAUGGUGGGGGUUGGAAAGUUUCGGCGGUUGGGGAUGGACUCGCGGCUUAUCAGCUUGUUGGUGGGGUAGUGGCUUACCAAGGCUUUGACGGGUAGCCGGCCUGAGAGGGUGACCGGCCACAUUGGGACUGAGAUACGGCCCAGACUCCUACGGGAGGCAGCAGUGGGGAAUAUUGCACAAUGGGCGGAAGCCUGAUGCAGCAACGCCGCGUGCGGGGUGACGGCCUUCGGGUUGUAAACCGCUUUCGCCUGUGACGAAGCGUGAGUGACGGUAAUGGGUAAAGAAGCACCGGCUAACUACGUGCCAGCAGCCGCGGUGAUACGUAGGGUGCGAGCGUUGUCCGGAUUUAUUGGGCGUAAAGGGCUCGUAGGUGGUUGAUCGCGUCGGAAGUGUAAUCUUGGGGCUUAACCCUGAGCGUGCUUUCGAUACGGGUUGACUUGAGGAAGGUAGGGGAGAAUGGAAUUCCUGGUGGAGCGGUGGAAUGCGCAGAUAUCAGGAGGAACACCAGUGGCGAAGGCGGUUCUCUGGGCCUUUCCUGACGCUGAGGAGCGAAAGCGUGGGGAGCGAACAGGCUUAGAUACCCUGGUAGUCCACGCUGUAAACGGUGGGUACUAGGUGUGGGGUCCAUUCCACGGGUUCCGUGCCGUAGCUAACGCUUUAAGUACCCCGCCUGGGGAGUACGGCCGCAAGGCUAAAACUCAAAGGAAUUGACGGGGCCCCGCACAAGCGGCGGAGCAUGCGGAUUAAUUCGAUGCAACGCGUAGAACCUUACCUGGGUUUGACAUGGAUCGGGAGUGCUCAGAGAUGGGUGUGCCUCUUUUGGGGUCGGUUCACAGGUGGUGCAUGCCUGUCGUCAGCUCGUGUCGUGAGAUGUUGGGUUAAGUCCCGCAACGAGCGCAACCCUUGUUCACUGUUGCCAGCACGUUAUGGUGGGGACUCAGUGGAGACCGCCGGGGUCAACUCGGAGGAAGGUGGGGAUGACGUCAAGUCAUCAUGCCCCUUAUGUCCAGGGCUUCACGCAUGCUACAAUGGCUGGUACAGAGAGUGGCGAGCCUGUGAGGGUGAGCGGAUCUCGGAAAGCCGGUCUCAGUUCGGAUUGGGGUCUGCAACUCGACCUCAUGAAGUCGGAGUCGCUAGUAAUCGCAGAUCAGCAACGCUGCGGUGAAUACGUUCCCGGGGCU